rnacentral:lncRNA from 1 species
GGUAAAGCGAGGACGUGUUUUCUGAUUGUUUUUUAGGUUCUUUGUCUGCUGUUAGGUCAGGGCUUUUGCAAUGGUUAGCGGUGUGAAGGACAUGUCAGCUGUCUAGGUCGUUGGGGAACUGCCACUGGUAUGUUGUAAGGAGGUCCGCAUGGUUGUGGACGAGACCCAGUCACUAGACGAGGCUUUUUCUGCUGACCAGGUGUCAAAUGGGGUUCCCUUGGUGCCAGCCUAUAGGACAUACUUUGGGGAUGGGAAGAUCCUCAUGCAGUUUCCAGAGUUGGACCAGUGGAGGUUCUGCUACCAGAUAUAGUUCUUUCCAAGGUUGCAUGUUGACUGCAACAGACAACUAACACAGGUGUUGGAUGCCACAGCUGACACUGUUCUAAAGGUAAUAGACACAUUUUUAGCUCGACUAUUCGAAUAAUAGUCUAGCUAUUCUACUCCCCCUGGCGUCGGCGUCAGCGUCACACCUUGGUUAAGUUUUUGCAUGCAAGUACAUACAGCUAUCAUUCAAAGGCAUAUAGCUUUGAAACUUAUUUUUUCUUUUUCUAUGUCAAUUACCAACCUCACUCGGUCAAGUUCCAUAAAUCUGACAUCUAUUUUGAGCAAAUUAUGCCCCCUUUUGGACUUAGAGAAUUCUGGUUAAAGUUUUACAUGCAAGUUACUAUCUCCAAAACUAAUGCAGAUAUUGAAUUGAAACUUCAUAUGUGU